rnacentral:rRNA from 1 species
AGGACGAACGCUGGCGGCGUGCUUAACACAUGCAAGUCGAACGGUAAGGCCCCUUCGGGGGUACACGAGUGGCGAACGGGUGAGUAACACGUGGGUAAUCUGCCCUGCACUUCGGGAUAAGCCUGGGAAACUGGGUCUAAUACCGGAUAUGAGCUCCUGCCGCAUGGUGGGAGUUGGAAAGUUUUUCGGUGCAGGAUGAGUCCGCGGCCUAUCAGCUUGUUGGUGGGGUAAUGGCCUACCAAGGCGACGACGGGUAGCCGGCCUGAGAGGGUGAUCGGCCACACUGGGACUGAGACACGGCCCAGACCUCCUACGGGAGCAGCAGUGGGAAUAUGCACAAGUGGGACGAAGCCUGAUGCAGCGACGGCCGGCGGGGGGAUGGACGGUCGUUCGGAUUACGUAAACCCCUUUGAGGUAGGACGAAGCGAAGUGACGUACUGCAGAAGAGCGACCGACUAACUACGU